rnacentral:lncRNA from 1 species
AUGAGUUAAUGUUCUUUUCCUCAAUGGGAGGUUCAUCCUUUUUUACUGGUGUAAGGGUCAGGUGAGCUUCUAGAGGCUCAGCUUUGUUCACAAUGGAGGUCACUGUUUUACCAUGCAAGUCAAUCAAAUGGUAAAGGGAUGAUGCCCUGGUAGAAAUCUCAGCAUCCCACUUGCAUUGCUUCAGCGCAGACAGUGCAUUUAAGCAUGGCCUGGAUCGACGAAAUAACUCAGAAACAUGAGCAGCAACCAUAGCUGCUGCAACAAUCUCAUUUGAACUAUAACUCCAUGAAGUACCAACAGAUGAUGGCUUCAAGGAGAACAGAGCUUCCAAGAUGCCAAGUAUUCUACGAGUAUGAAGAAUCGCUGAGCUAAUGCUAUUGUGUAGCUCGUUACUGAUACCAGUGGUUUUUCCAGGUAUGACUAUCUUUAUGGAGUCCUUCAGAUUUGAAUGGUUCCCAUUCUUGGAAAUAAAAGGGAACAGCUGGAGCUCACAAGAUAAGGCACAAACGGCUGCUAGAACGUAUGAGUCGAAUGUAGCAACUGGUCCUUGUCUCUUCUUACAUCUGUUUCUUCCAUUGGUUAAUCUCGAAUCAUUUGUGACCUCCUCAGAGGAAUGAUUAUCACUACCAGUUGGCCUUUUACUUCCCCCAGGCAAAGCUUGAUGACUGACGCAAACAGUUAAUACUACAAAUAGUAAUCUGGACGCAAGGUCCAUUGAAGCACAGGACUCCACAAAGAGUGAAUGUAUCAUUGUUCGGAGUUCAGCAACAGCAAGGUUCUUAGAUUGACUUCUUGGUUUCCUGGAUUGUUCAGAGGUUUCUGAUGGAAAAGUUCUUCUCAGUAUAGCUUCAACUGUUGCCACAAAAAUUCUCAUAAGGCAUGCUUCAGAUGGACUCCCACGAGGUAAAUACUCAAAUACUUUCAACAAUGGCAAGUAUAGGCUCCAUGACAAAGUAGGUGGCUGAAGUGGAGCAGCUACAACAAUUUCAGGCAAAUCAACUGCU